rnacentral:rRNA from 1 species
AUUGAACGCUGGCGGCAUGCUUUACACAUGCAAGUCGAACGGUAACAGGGAGCUUGCUCCGCUGACGAGUGGCGAACGGGUGAGUAAUGCGUCGGAACGUGCCGAGUAGUGGGGGAUAACGCAUCGAAAGGUGUGCUAAUACCGCAUACGUACUGAGGUAGAAAGUGGGGGACCUUCGGGCCUCACGCUAUUCGAGCGGCCGACGUCUGAUUAGCUAGUUGGUGAGGUAAAGGCUCACCAAGGCGACGAUCAGUAGCGGGGCUGAGAGGAUGGUCCGCCACACUGGGACUGGGAGACGGCCCAGACUCCUACGGGAGGCAGGAGUGGGGAAUGUUGGACAAUGGGCGCAAGCCUGAUCCAGCCAUGCCGCGUGUCUGAAGAAGGCCUUCGGGUUGUAAAGGACUUUUGUCCGGGAGCAAAUGCCUGGUGUUAAUAGCAUCGGGAGCUGAGAGUACCGGAAGAAUAAGCACCGGCUAACUACGUGCCAGCCGCCGCCGUAACAC